GAUGAACGCUGGCGGCGUGCCUAAUACAUGCAAGUCGAGCGAACAGACGAGGAGCUUGCUCCUCUGACGUUAGCGGCGGACGGGUGAGUAACACGUGGAUAACCUACCUAUAAGACUGGGAUAACUUCGGGAAACCGGAGCUAAUACCGGAUAAUAUAUUGAACCGCAUGGUUCAAUAGUGAAAGACGGUGUUUGUGUCACUUAUAGAUGGAUCCGCGCCGCAUUAGCUAGUUGGUAAGGUAACGGCUUACCAAGGCAACGAUGCGUAGCCGACCUGAGAGGGUGAUCGGCCACACUGGAACUGAGACACGGUCCAGACUCCUACGGGAGGCAGCAGUAGGGAAUCUUCCGCAAUGGGCGAAAGCUUGACGGAGCAACGCCGCGUGAGUGAUGAAGGUCUUCGGAUCGUAAAACUCUGUUAUUAGGGAAGAACAAAUGUGUAAGUAACUAUGCACGUCUUGACGGUACCUAAUCAGAAAGCCACGGCUAACUACGUG
rnacentral:rRNA from 1 species